UUUAUUACGCGUUCAUAACAUUUUCGUGUUUUAAUAACAUUUUCGUGCGUAUUUUAUAGACAUUUCAGAGUUAAUAAAUAUCCUAUUAAAGUUGUGAUUUUGAUAUCUCUCUCUUUAAAACAGAAUACAUCAAGGUUUAGACAAGGUUGCAUAUAAGGCAAUAUGAAGCUCUUCUACAUUUUAGUCUUAUUUUCGAUGAUCGCGGGAGCUUUAUCAGCAAUAGGUCCACCACCAUGUUUCUACUGGAGAGACGUCAAACAACACCCGGAAGCUGAUUGUAAAGAAAACGGAGAUUUUAAACCAAUUCAAUGUGAAGAUGGGAAGUGUCGUUGCGUUAACUUUUAUGGUCAAAAACUCACUGAGCCACAAGACGGAAAACCUGAUUGCUCCGGUACAAACUACAACAAAUACAUUGUUCAAUAAAAAUACAUAUUCAAUAUGAA